AUGUACAUGCCUACAUUGUUAAUUCACUGGAUCACAUUAGAACUCCACAAUUAAGUGCACUUGGGCUAGAGUAGUACUGGAAUGGGUGACCUCCUGGGAAGUCCUAGUGUUUUACAUG
rnacentral:rRNA from 1 species